UUGUGUGACAAUGAUGAUAAAUGUGAUCCCAGCUCUAUGAGAUCGAAAGAUCAAGGACUAAAAUUAGUUCCAACACACAUUUGUCUGAGUCUCUGA